AGUGUUAGAAAAUUGCAUAUGUGUUAGAUCAAGAAGGCAUUGCCAUACACGUGGCAUCAUUACAUUGUUUUUCCUCGAUUUUUCUCAUUAAGAAAAAACAAAGGAAAACAGCCCUACGAAGAGCUUUUUGGUUUUUGUUUGUCUUUGCACCUAGAAAAAGCAGCAUGGUAACUCCUCAGCUGGAAUUGCUCAGUGCUUCCCAUCAGCUUAGUUCUUUCAGAAAGCCCUUUUACAUAGGUAAGGUGGUCUAUCUCAGCUAAUUCUUAGAGCUAACCUUUUUUUCCAGUAUAUAUUUCAUGCCACUUCCUAACAGCAAUUUCAGAACUACAAUGGAUCUAUGAUAAUGUCCACUACUAACUUUGACCAGAUCUUGAUACAAACCAUCGAAGCCAGGCCCUUGGGAUGGUUCCACGUAUUAAACUGAAGCUCAGACUAAAAAUCUCACCGAAACUCAAAAAGCUGGAGUGGUCAUGAAUCUCAGCUACUUUUGCCUAUUUGAACCCUCACCCUGUAAUGAAAGCACGCACACCAAGGGAAAAUAACAACCAUCUGAGCUGGGAGCGUUACGACUCUGGUGAGUUCUCCUGCUGCUCCUCAGUGACUGUGGACUCGCUGUGCUCCUCGCUCGUCUCGUUGGAGGGCUCCUCGUAGCCUGGCUCAGCAGGGUCCAGGCUGCUCCCAUCGCUUUGCUCACUCUGCUCCUCACUGGCCUCCGCAGACUGCUCCAAGUUGCUCUCCAAGGAGGCCGGAGAGCUGCCAGUUACACUAUCAGUUUGGUUCAUUUCAUUAAAAGGCUGCGGGAGGGGAGCAGGAGACUGUACAGCAUUCUCACUGGCAGGGAUGGGCACUUUGGUUGCACCGAUGUCUACGACAAUGUCAUUUUGUGGUAGAGUUACCUUCUCCACAAGUUUCCAUUGAAUAAUACUCAUGUCUUUCCCUCCAGUUGAGAUCAAGUGACUAUCGCUGUGGGUAAAGCUGACGUUUGUCACAUGACUACUGUGAGCACUGUAUUUGUGACUCGGGGCCUUUGGCUUGGAACAGGGAUACUGAAAGAGAUGGACCUUACAAAAAUCAUCAGCAACUGCUAUCACUUUUCGAUUAUGGGAUCUGACAAGAGCAUUUAUAUCUGUCCCAUCUGAUCCUUCAGGCCAUACACCAAACACUUGAAAGCCUAGCACACAAGUGUAUGUCGUCCAAUCUAUAUCCUUACAGUCAGAACGAUUCCUGAUUAACUUGCAGCCACUUGGAAUGUCCCAGUAUAGAAUUUCAUAGUCUCCUGAGUUUGACAUUAUAUACUUGUUGUCUGGGGACCAAUCAAGGUGUGUAAUAUAGCUGGAAUGUCCAGUGCAUUUUCCAUGUCUGCUAUACUUUCUUCCAUUUUCUGUUACUACGUAGAGGUAAAUAAAGUUGUCAUGGGAUCCAACUGCAAGUAAGGUGCCAUCUACUGAAUAGCGCAUCACUGAGAGCUGCUCGUUGCCAUCAGUGUGUAUUGAGACCAGAUCCCUUGUUUCUGCAUCCAGAACAAACCACCGUCCUGAGUGCGUUCCUAUUGCAACCACUGCUCCGCUGGGAUGGAAAUCGGCACAGUGCCCUGGUUCAUCUAGCAGCCUGGUCCAUUCCAGUGUGUGGUCCACAGAGUUCCACAUACAAACUUGCCUAUCUUGAGCACAAGUUAAAAAUAAGUCUUUGAAAGGAUGCGAUGCCAGUCCCCAGAGUUCAUCUGUAUGUCCCUGUACUUCUACUAGGAAGCCAUCAUUAAAUGUUCCACGUAAAACAAAGUUUCGUGAAGUACCCACUAAAAACUGAUCAGCUUUUCCUUCUGCUACUGCUCUUAUUGUUCCAUACUGAUCAGGAACCUCAAUUUCUCUUUCGGGAUUCAAAUCAUGAUCCCACAGAAUGAUCUUUCGGUCUUUCCCACCUCCGGUUAGCAGCAUCCCAUUCCUCAUUUGACAGAGGGUAAAUACACUGCCAUCGUGAGCUUUGAUUUGUCUGCUUAUCUGAUAUACUCCUUUAGGUCCUUUCCCUGGAGUAGAUUCUACAGUAGUUUUGCUCCAUAUAAGUAUUAUCCCACCUGAGUCUCCAGUGAGCACAUCACCAUUUCCCAAAAAAGCCAAACAUUGAACAAAUUUGGGUUUUUCAUAUUUCCCAAAUAUCCCUUGCUUCCUUGAUAAUGAAUUGCCACUCCAAGUCCAAAAAAAAAUAUGAGACUUGCCACAUGUUAUUAUGGUAUUUGCAUCAGUUGGAUGGAAUUCUACAGCAAGCACAACUUCAUUUGUAGUCUUUAUUUCUGCUACUUUUGAUUUUUUCUGCCAAUCCCAUACGGUGAGCAUAUGUUCAUUAGAGUCAUCAAUUACACACAAAUGAGUACCAGAAUCCGCUUUUGAAAAAUCCAAGCACCCAACUCCACGCUCGAAAGUCCCCAGGCCGAUAACCUGCAGCGUCACCAGGCUCACUGAGUCCCACACUCUAACAUGGGGCUGCAAGGGCCUUCCAUCUUUAUCCACUCCAGCUAACUGUCCUGUUGCAAUUCUAAUUUUGUCUGGAUGAACUGCAAGACAUUUAACGCAGUCCGUAUGACCCAGGUAGUGCCGUUGAGUUCUUUCUUCAUAAUUAAAUAGUACCACAACUGAUGCUAUGAAAUAUACAAUUUCUCCGGUAGGAAGGAGGUAAACAUUGGCUCGACAGUCUCUUCCACGAUACCCAUAUACCCACUCCAGUUUUAACUUUUCAGGAGGCAGCUCAGUCCUAAUAUCAUCAUAGUUUUCUACAUCAGAAGGAAUGAACAUUGUGAUUGGUCGACCCCGCAUGAACAUCUUGAUAUAUUCUCCCUCUUGGCUGAUGAUGACAUCUUUGUGCUUGUCUGCAUUCUUUGCCACUUUCGAUAUUAAUUUAGAUGUUGAUGCUACUCUCAGUAGCUUGUUACGACCGUCAUCCGAGCUCUCCCAGGCACUGUGAGGUUUCUCAGCAGUCAAUGAUCUCUUUAUGCUUUUAGUUGGAGCAGAACUCUUGCUUUCUGGAGUUUGCCUGUGUGUUUGGAGAGUCUGUGAGGGCGGCUGGGGAGAAGGUGAUGCUUGAGUUUGUGGACUUUGAUCAUUAGAAUGAGAUUCCUCUUUUUUUUCUUUCUGUCCAGGAGAUUUUUCUUUCUUUUUUUCUGUACCGCUUUUUGCAGUAGAUAAAGAAGUUUCUUUUCUGGCAACAGAUACAGAGGAAAUGUGGCUUGUUUUCCUGCUUCCUGUACUCCCGUUGGUUAUACAGGACAUCGAGAUAGCUUCUCGGAGGCUUGGCUGACCUUUACUUGGAGCUGAUUUUCUCACAGAAGCUACAUGGUCUUCAGAGAUAGCAAGGCGCCUUAGCACAUCAGCCAGUGCUGCUUUUAGGACAGUGAUUUCAUCUUCUUGUUGUUGUACUCUCAGCUCUAAGGCUGAAAGUCGGUCUUGGACAUCAGAUGUGCUUGCAGCUGAGAUGCUGUCAUCCAGGCUGCCGGCGAACCCGUCCAUUUUGUCCUGGGGAAGGCUGGUGCCGCAGCCCGAGGCGAAGCCGCUGUCGCCGUCCGGGACAGGUUCAUUCACCCGCGGAGCGGCGGCAGCGGCGCCGCAGCCCGGCGCUCAUCGGCCGCCCGGGGCAGCGGCUCCCGGCGCUCGGCGGGGGGCGGCUCCGGCUCCUCCUGCUGCUGCUGCGGGGCCGGAGGCGCUGCCCGGCUCCGUCUCUGCGCCGCGACCCUAACGCGGCGCCGAGUGCCGAGCUCCGAGCUCCUCCCGCCGCCGCCAGCGCCGCCCCAGCGCCCCGUGCUGUCGUGCUUCCGACUCCGCCCGCCCUGGCAGCCGCCGCUUCCCCUGCGGGCGGGACGGGGACGGGGACCGGGCCGCCCUCGCUGCCGGCAGCACCGCGCCGGCCCCGGCUGCCCCGGGGAGCGCUCCCGCCGCCGCCUCGGCGGCCGCCAAAGGAAAGCGGGGACGCCCCGUGCCUGCCCACGUCCUUGCAGCCCGUAUGCCUGAGGAGAGGCACCCGCAGCCUCUCUGCGGGGCGUUUGCUCGGAUUGCGUUCGGGGGUUGGUACCGUUUGUGAGGCGCAGCGAUCAAAGCUGAGAUUUCCUUAGGAAGCUAUGGAAUCGCUGGUUCACGCUAAUUUGGGGGUGAAGUGCUUUAGCGGCCGCUGGAGCUGUUCGUCCCGGAGUAAGGUGACUCCCGGGGCCGCCACCCCUCUCUCUGCAGCCCCGCUCGGGGCUGCUGCUCCCGUUGCUUCCAGCCCCGCGCACGUUGACGAGGAGCAAUGCGAAGCAGAACGAGAAAUUCAGGUCGGCCGUGCUGCGCGCCGGCCCUUCUCCUGCCUAAGAGCUGCCUAAGAGCUCGCGCGUUAGGCAACGCCGCCGAGUUGUGCGAUGCGUUGCUUUCUCCCUGGUCAGGAAAAGCUGCGUACCCGUUGCAACAUCCUGUUGUGGUGCGAGCGCUUUCCUCUCGUGCAUGCAGCGAGGGGGGCAGGUGCUGCCCCACAGCGCUGCUGCUGCUCGCUGCCGCUGGGGAGAGAUGGGGCAGCGCGUCCCGUGCAGGGCCGGGCGGGUCGCUGGAGACAUCCCUGCACUCGUAAGUCUGGGAAAGGGAGGCACGGAGCUGAAGGCGACAGCAACAGAUCCUUAUCUAGAUGCUUAAUUACUGCUGAAACUGCUUAGGAGCGCGAAUGCUUCGGGAUUAUCUGGGUCCUGCAGAACACCGCACCACGAGGUAGAGCUGCUGAGAGAGCCGGCUCUCCGUUGCCUUGUUGUAAGCACGGAGGGGUGCUCAGGCAGUAUUGAAAACCCAAACUUAAGUCCUAACAUUUAAAAAAUAAAGCUAUUUCAUUGUGAAGUUCAGGAACCGAAUAAAAUUAAUGAAAUUAAAAGGCAAAGACAUUUACUCACUGGGGAGACAUGAUAACGGCCUGUCAGUAUCUAAAGGGGGCUGUAAGAAGAAAGGGGGGCAGACUCCAGUAGGCUCUGUUGUGACAGGAUGAGGGGAAAUGGUUUCCAACUCAAAGAGGGGAGCUUUAGGUUGGAUAUAAGGAAGAAGUAUCCUACAGUGAGGAUGGUGAGGCACAGGAACAGGUUGCCCAGAGAGGUGGCGGAUGCCCCAUCCCUGGCUGAGCGUCUUGGGGCUGCGUUGGGGCCCAUGCAUACACACAGUCUCCUACAAGGGAAAGAGCAAUGGAAAAUGUGACCUGCAGGAGGAGGUCGCCGUGAAGCACUCAGCAGAGGCUGCACACAUUCCUGGGAUUUUUACUCUGCUCUUGAAGGAAAUAAGAUAUUUUCCCCUAUUGUUUCAUUUUUCUGGCACGUUUUCCUUAGAUCACAGGUUUUUUGAGCUGUGCUUCUUAUAAGAAUACCUUGGUAUUUAUUUUAUUUUAUUUUUAAUUGACAUAGUUUGGCAACGUUCAGCCUGGGAAUUGUUUAAAUUUUUUGGUGGCUUGAAUGUAAAUUGUAUUUAAGCACCUUUCCACUGAGGAAACAGGAAAAAAAAAAGAUUAACAAAACAAAAUUGCUGAGAUUCUUGUACGUGAAGUUGAGAGCCUGAGCCUCUGAGCCCCUUCACUUUGCCCAUUAGCACGAGAAAUCUGCUUCCCACUCUACUCAUCUCCUCCUACUUAACAUGGUGCAUGGUUUCCUGAUCCACAGUGGAGACAUGGAAGGAAAUGUCCUCCAUCAUGCUUUCCUGGUGCGAGCAGCCCCAGCCAGUGCUGGCCAGGAGGCGGGGAGCCCAACACCAGCUCUGGCCCCGCUCCCCCAGCUCCCACCUGCAAACCCAAGGGGAAGCAGCACCGCAGUUUGGAAGGAGCUCUGCCCCACAGCUGGAGGAGGCUGAAGCAAUGCAGGAUCACUCCCUGAGUGUGGUGCUGCUGUUCCUUUGCGAGUAUUUGGGGCUCUUUAUGGUGCCUUGUUCAGUAGAGGGACAAUUUUAUUGGUUUACCACACGGCAUGGCAUAUUGGUAAUUCUCCCAAGCGAGGCUGCAUUUGUAAGAAGUUCCCAGGAGUCGCUGAUGUAAGGGAAAAUAAUUUGGUGCCUGACCUAGAGCUGGAUUAAAUUACUGUUUCCUGGUUUUCAGAGGGUAAUCCCCUUACCUCCAGCACAGAGUCUGGAGUUUUCCUUUCUGGGCUGGGAUUUUUCCUCCCCUAUACAUGACCAGAGGGCAUGAAUCGCCCGUAAUGCUGAAUGCAAUGGGAGGCAACAGGAGUCACACCAGGGACUUGAGCAGAACUGGGGACAUUUGAUUACAGCUUGGCAGGUAGCACUGAUUAUGGCUGAACCGAAUGCCAGUGUUGUUGUUAAUUAAGUGUUUACAUUAAAUCUGGCAUCAGGCUAUCCAAACGGGACUGAGUUUAUUAACUACUGUGGCUAUCCUCACUGAUUUUGGCAAAGACUCCUAGCUGCAUCCUCCGCUGUGUGUUUAUUAAAGUGAGUGGGCAGCUAAAUGCGUUUGAGAGCGCGUGAGAGGGGAAAACAAAGAAGUCUUUCCAGUUCCUUAAAAUUCUUUAUCUUUUUACAUUAUUCCUAGCAGUCAGAAGUUAAGGCAUACCUAAGGUUCUGCCAAUGGUCCUCCAUUUUGUUUUAUAUAUAUAUACAUAUAUAUAUAUAUAUAUAUAUAAAACAAAGAAACUGUCUUCCCAAAUAAAAAGAUCAAAUUUUGCAGGAGGGUUUCACGAGGAUAAACUCUGUGUUAGGUGGAGUGUGUAGCAGGAUGGAUUGUAGUCUUAUUCCUAUAAUGCCACCACUUUGUUGUUAAUUAGUGUGUCUGCAGAGUCAUUCCUGAAUAUUCAGAAAUGUCUUUGUCUAAUAGAAUAAAUGCAAUUUUAUGAUAAUCAGAAAAAGGGGAAAAAAAAGAAAAAAAAAGCUUUUUUUAAUUUAAACAUACCAAUGGUUUUUGAGGGCCUCCGUUAUAGAGACCCAAUAGAGAUGUUUUCAUUUGGAGGAAGCGCAGAGCACUCGCCUUCUGAAAAAUCAAACUUGGGGUUGCUGUUUUAUAUUGAUUACCCCAAAAUUGUAAUCCCAAGCCAUUAAUGAAACUCUGGCAAGAGCUGUAUAAUUUCCUGGUGUCCUCGUUAAAUGUGCAUUUUGGCUCAAAUGGAGAACCUACAAAACCUGUUAGUUUAAGCUACAUUUCACAUCCUUGGAUUAAUGUAUUUCUAAAAUGGCAGUUUCAUAGAACUGUGACUACUGGAUAAGAGAAAAAUAGCAGAGCUCUAGUGCUAAUUCAUUCACCAGCCCUGGUGGGGAAUAAGCAGAUGCAGUGCGACUCUAAGCAUUCAAAAAAUUGGCAGGGUUGUAGCAGAGAUAGUUGGAAAUCUGUGUGUGCAAUGUGUUUCUUUCUAAGGAGGGGAAAGGCUCAGCAGUUUAACCAGAGAGCAGGUUGAAAAUUUUAUUCUGGAACUUUGUCGAUACUGAGAUUACUUUAAGUGAGGAAAUCUGAAAAACAUUUCACAUAGCUGAAAAAGUAGAAUCUUAUCUUCCUUCAUCUCUCCCCAAUGGAUACGUGGUCUGCUUUCUCAUACCAAAGAGCACACUCAGUUGUUUUCUCAAAUUAGUGAGUUCCCCAUGAAAUUCAUACCUUGGUCCAAGCCCUAUAAAAGCCUAAUAUCUUACAUAAGUGCUAAGUUAAGAAUUUAGCUGAAGUAUAAAUUGGUUCAUUGGCAUUGUAUCAGCCAUUUACAUUAGGGUGCAUUUUAUUCCCUGCCUCAGGAAAAAAUGUGCUUCAGCUUGUAGUUGGGAGCUCUGUGGUGAGCUUUGGAGAGAUCUGUUUUCUGUUUUCCCACUUAGAAAAAUUAGGGAAAGGUAAAGCUAGUGUUGCUAACUAGAGAUGCUAACUAGUAUGUGUUAAAGCCACUGGAAGAGGUGGUGAUUUUCAGACUGAAGGGGUUGUGGGUAUCCCCCUUGGGAACGGAAUAAAUUAGCUUCGCUUGCGGAUUAUUUUUCUCCUGACUUAAAACAUCUCCUGUAGCUUUGCAUUUUAUACAGAUCAUUAUCCACAAUAACAAGCUGGUCCACACAAUAGGCUGUGUGCACACGUACGUAUCUAUAAAUAAAUGCACUCAUAUAGAUCCUUCUUCAUCAACGCCGUCCCCCCUCUGUGUAAUUCUGUUUAGGCCAUCACUCCACUUGAACCAUUUGUCAGUGAAAGGAAGUGCCUGCCGAGAAGUGAUACAUUACUGUAUAGUUUCUUGCUGUGAAAUGUUGAUUUUAAAACAGGCUGGCAGACUGCAGCCAAUCCCAUAAUAAAACCGAACAGACAGGUUUUGGGAGGUUCUGUUUUUCUUUUGUCCUGUUCUUAUGCCCAGUUUAAGGAAUCUUUUAUUGUCUUUCAGCUGCACCAUACUCAACAGUAAAUUUCUGCCUUUCUUUGGCCUUUUUGCUUCUGGGAGUUUGGGAUUCUUUCCCAUUUCCAUUCCUGCAUUUUUAAGCCGUGACAACCGCUGUAUUGCCCAGUCAUUAGCUAGCGUGGCAGGUGUGCAAUGUUUUCUUUUGGAAGGGAUAAUGUUAGCAUGGAGAUCUUCCCCCAUUUUACAGGCUGAGAACACCAACAUGGAUGUUAAUGCAGGGCCGCAGGCUGAAGAAUGAAGGUCAAACACAGGUCAGCACAGACUAAAUUGAAACAAAGUGGAAAGCAACUGCACUCCCAUUAAAAAUACUAAUUAUUUAGUAUUUUAUUCUGUAAAUCCUUUGAGCUUGGACUCAAGGGCAAGUCUGCUCUCA
rnacentral:lncRNA from 1 species